rnacentral:lncRNA from 1 species
CCAAGCUGGGGCUGCUGGGUAGCUGAGGGCAGCUGCCAUGGCUCAUAGGAAGAGGAGAGUGAAAGCAGGAAGGAGGCUUGAGGGGGCCGGCUCUGAGAGGCACAAGGCACAACCCAGGGAAAGGCCUCAGAAAAAGCCAGUGUUGCCAGGAAGAGGGAUGGAGGAAGCAAGAAGGAAAGAAUGAGCAAGAGGACCAUAAGGAGCAGAUGAGGAGAAACAUUGUACCAGCAACGCCCUGGCCCGGGCCUCAUCUGAGGGCCUGGUGGUGUGGAGGCAAAGGCGUCUUUGGAGGCGCUGCUCGCUGAGGCAGCCAAAGCCUUCCUUCCACCUGGCUGUCACUUGGAGAGCCUGUGAGGACCUCCUGCUGCUGUGCACCCCUGCCCAGGCCCUCCUCAGCCCAGGGACUCGAAGUGAGCACUUGACCGCUUCCUCGGCAUCCCAGAGUCAGCUCCAGGUCAAGUCAAAGCUGACUUCACUGCGCUCUGCCCCCAGCGCCUUCUCCACCUCUGUGCAUGCCCCAGUCAGGACCCCACAUCCCAG